rnacentral:lncRNA from 1 species
UAAAAGUUCAGUAUGAAAAACCGUUGUUUUACCUGGCCCGAGCCCAAAAAUGGUUUGGACCAUCUCUGGAUUUAUGCUCCAUCAACAUCGUUGUUCACAUCGGCCAUCUCCUCACCCUCCAACGUCGAGGUCGCUCCCCGCCCACCGUCCAUGCCGACCACCUCGCCUCCCGUGCCACCGUCGAGAUCGCUGCCCGCCCACCGUCUAUGUCAACCCGAAGGAGGUUCAACGUGAUUGCAUCCUAGAGAAUGACAACCCUCAAGCAGGGGCAAUUUUAGCACAUAAGCAAUGGGGGCAGCCGCCCCCACUCAAUUGUUUAUGUAUUUGUAAUUUGCCAAGCUAAGUAGUAGUCAUUUGCCCCCACUUAAGAAAUACAUUUUUCUCAUUUAACACAUAUUUUCCCCCUCUUAAAUUCGAUCUUGGGUUCGCCCCUGCCCUCAAGGGAGUGGAUAUGAAGACCUGCUCGAAAUCGGACAUCUCAGCAUCCGUCUUGGAGACUUUGCGGUAGGACUCGACGAGGAGACGGCCCGAGCGCCUCGCAUGAGGUAGUCGUGUGUGAAACCCAAUAGUUAAUCUAUAGUAACUAAUCCAGAACAUUAAGUUUAAUUAAGCCAGAUUUUCAAUUAAUAAAAUUAAAGCCAAA